rnacentral:rRNA from 1 species
UCCUACGGGAGGCAGCAGUGGGGAAUAUUGGACAAUGGGGAUCCAGCCAUGCCGCGUGUGUGAAGAAGGCCUUCGGGUUGUAAAGCACUUUUGUUGGGGGGUUGAAUGACGGUACCCAAAGAAUAAGCACCGGCUAACUUCGUGCCAGCAGCCGCGGUAAUACGAAGGGUGCAAGCGUUACUCGGAAUUACUGGGCGUAAAGCGUGCGUAGGCGGUUUGUUAAGUCUGCUGUGAAAGCCCUGGGCUCAACCUGGGAACUGCAGUGGAUACUGGCAGCUAGAGUGUGUCAGAGGAUGGUGGAAUUCCCGGUGUAGCGGUGAAAUACGUAGAGAUCGGGAGGAACACCAGUGGCGAAGGCGGCCAUCUGGGACAACACUGACGCUGAGGCACGAAAGCGUGGGGAGCAAACAGGAUUAGAUACCCUGGUAGUCCACGCCCUAAACGAUGCGAACUGGACGUUGGGCACACUUAGGUGCUCAGUGUCGAAGCUAACGCGUUAAGUUCGCCGCCUGGGGAGUACGGUCGCAAGACUGAAACUCAAAGGAAUUGACGG